UUUCGCUGUGAUCAGCUCCAUCAUUACAACACCGAAGCUGUACACAUCACUCUUCUCUGUAAGUUUCUGUGUUGUGUAGUACUCUGGGUCCAAAUAUCCCUGCCAUUGAAUCAUCAGAAACAAAAGUUCCUAAAAAUUGAAAGCAAUAUGACUCGUUGAUUUAUCUAAAACUUACCAAUGUUCCUUUAACUUGUGUUGAAACAUGGCCUUUGGUGCAGUCUGAAACCAGCUUGGACAAACCAAAAUCAGCAACCUUGGCUGUCAGAUUCUCAUCCAAAAGAAUGUUAGUUGAUUUCACGUCCCUGUGGAUGAUCGGAGGAUCCGCCAGUUCAUGGAGGUAUGCGAGUCCUCUUGCCGAUCCUAGAGCCACUCUCAGCCUUCUUUUCCAAUCCAGCGUAAUUCCGGAUCGCCCUAAAAACAAUACGUAAUGGUCAAGUUUUGUGUUUGUGAUUUAUUGAGCACCUAAAGGCCAGAUUUUUCAGUACCGGUUAAGCUAUCUUUUAGUGAUCCGUUGGACAUGUAUUCGUAGACUAGAAUCUGCUCGCCUUGCUCGAAGCAGAACCCGACAAGCCCAACUAGGUUCUUGUGAUGAACUCGAGAAAGCAACUCAAUCUCUGUUUUGAACUCGAGCCCUCCUUGUGUUGAUCCUUGUUGUGCUCUUUUGAUCGCCACCAUGUGCCCAUCUUGAAGCAUUCCUUUAUACACCUGCGGAGAUUACAGAGAGAAACAGAGGAGCGUUACUUGUCAAACCCUGAAAGUGAAGCCCUAGAUAGUUUCAAGAUCGAUCUUUCAAAAACCCACCUUUCCAUAACCUCCAUAACCCAGCUCACUGCUCACAGAGAAAUUGUUCGUGAUCUUCUUGAGUUCUUCGUAGGAGAACCAUCGUGCCCCUUUCAGCUGCGGUGCGCCACCGCUGUCUUUUCCACUUGAUGCCCAUGAAACUGAGUGAAUCAAAAUAUCAUUGUCAGUCUUCUACUUAACAGUAAAUCUAUCAUGUAAGUUAAUGUAGAGUUUCUUUUUUUUCAGGUGAACCUCAGAGAAUCUAAAAUGGUAG
rnacentral:lncRNA from 1 species